rnacentral:lncRNA from 1 species
CAUAUCCUGCGAAAGUGCCUGGCCUGGCCCCAUUGUGCAGCUGUGUUCUGAGAGAGCCCAGAGGCCCCUGGUUUCUUGGAAGUGAGGGAGUGCAGCACUGAGAAGCAACGGGAAGAUGUCCUACACAUGGAGCGAUAGGCAGAUGCAGCUGCUCUAGGAUCCUCUGGUCAUCUGUUUUCAUUAAAACUUCACUUGUGCAUUUGACCUACCAGCUGGAUUCAGCAUAUGUCACUGGUAAAGGGCCAUAACAUCCCAGUGAAGUGCAAGUGGAAAGAGGGAAGUGAGCUGCAGAAGAGAUGAGACUCAUGAUCUGCAGUUGUUUGAUGCAGAGAUUGAACAUUGAAAAUCACGAACAACAUUUACAUGAAACACUAGCUGCCACUAGCUUCACAUUCAUCUGUCAGAUCAGUCUUUGCAACUUCUAAGUGACGGAUGAAGGAAAUCCUUAUUGCUUGAAGCAGCUCUACCUAUUUAUAUGAACCUGCCACGUGGUUUCCUAAAAUAUGAACUGACAAGGCCAUUCGUCUCUGAAAUGCUGCUGAAGAUGGUUUCAGAACUGGAGUGAUGAAGCCUGGUCGUAAUAGCUGCUGUCUCUUUCUUGUUGCCUCGUGUGCCAAGGUGUCCCAAAGCACAGCUGUGAAACAAAGUACCGUGGAAUAUUCCUUGAGAAUUCUACCCAGAUGUGAAAAGAAUAAGUGCAUUUUUUAAAACAGAUUUUAAGUUAAGCUGUUCAGCCUGAAAAUGUCAAAUAUGAAGAAGUGAUACUUUUGCUUAAUGUAAAACUGAAUCACUUCUUUAAUACGUAUAGCAUCUGAGUGAUUUAGUUAAGCUAUAUUAAAUUACAAUUCUGUUCUUGUUUUCUUGAUUAUAUUCAGAAUUACAAACUUCAGAUCUAUUGUUGUUAAAUAGGGAUAUUUUUCACUGUUCAGGUAUGAAUAUUUAAACAGUGCUAAAUUUCGAGGUAUACAGAUGAGCUAAUUUGAAAUUUUAAAUGAAUUAAAAGUUCAAUUUCUGAAAUGAUUUGUAAAGUCUUGCUUGAUUCUUGAGUGCUUCCAGGUGCUUCAAUAAAACCUGGUUCCAAAAAAUCCAGUAUUCUGUUUCUGAAAUUCACUAUUUAACCUCAUUCUUGUUAAUCUAGUACAAACUUUUAUUUCAUUUGACAGUACAGUUUUCAACUUUAUAGAUGAACCAGACAUUAAAACUCACAUAGCUUAUAAUUUACACGGAAAAUGGCAGAAAAAUAAAAGAUCAUUAGGGCUUGCAUUGCUAAAAUCAGAGCCAUCUGACCUCCUUUAACAAUUACUGCAUUUGAUAUUUAAUAACUUUCACAGAUUAACAUUGCUGACAAAUGAUCUGGUUUUCCAGUGGGUAGUUUAGCUCAUUGGAUCCAAAGGUAAAUAAAAGAAAAGGCAAUGAGCUCAUGGCUGUUAACAUGCUUUCAGCCCUUGGCCACCAUUUACCCCACUCCACAGCACGUAGAAAAAUCUCUGCCCAGCUGUAAUGAGAAGCUCCACCCCAUAUUAUUCUUGUUACAUAGGUACAGGUACUUAUGGCAGAAGUGCAGAAUUCACAUUCUUUGUACAUUCUGUGAGAGAGAAAAAGCAAAUGGUCAAUCAAAUUAGUCUUUUCUCAGCAUCUCUGCCCAGUACAUUGCCCUUUAGAGCAGCGGAUUUAGUAUCAGUUGGUCUCUGCCUGGGGUACAUGACGGUUUACCUCAAAUUCAGGACUUGUCGCUUCAAUAACAAUCUUUAAUUUUGGAUAUGUUUACUUUUUUUCUGUUUUCUUGUCUACUAUUCUAUUGUUUUGAAAUUCUUUUAUUGCUAAAUGCUGGAGAAAGCUCAUUUCAAACAUUCUGUUACACCAUUUUCUUUGUGUGUACCACAUACAACAGAGUUUUUCUUUCAAGUGCUGUAUUUCAUUUAAAACUGAUUGCACAAUUUUAGUGCCUGUGCCUCUUUAGCAAUCCUGGCUUUUUC